ACUCCCUUAGUACAAACAGUACAAUUGACUUCCAAUCAAUAAGCCUCGACAAACCUCGAGAGAGAGUA
rnacentral:tRNA from 1 species